ensembl:lncRNA
GUGCUUUAAUCUCUCACCCAGAAUCCUUGGCUCUUGUGAAGGCAUUUUCGUGAGUGGAUCAUUCAUCAGAUUGCUGUUUCUGCAAAGGGAUGACUGCUGGAAACUCUUACUCAACCAUCUUGCUGAUAUUGCUCCAAGAAUUCAGUUUUGAGUUAAAACUAAUGCUGAGAAAUAUGGGAGAAAAUGGAAAUCAGCAAUAGAGACAGACAAGGAAAGGCCAGUGAGCACAGAAAGAAAACAUGUACUGGCGUGUGAGGAGUUGUCAGGUAGGUGAUAGAAGCAUUUCAAGAAAAGAGGGACCAACGGUGUCAAAUGCACCCAAUAGUGUAAAGUGGGAGGAAUCUUUCGGGGUGAUGGAAACGUUCUAAAAGUGAAUUGUGUGAUCACUGUGGAAUUCUGUACAAUUACAGAAACCAAUGAAUUCUACACUUAUAAGUGAAUGUCAGGACAUAUAAAUUACACCUCAAUGUUUUCUCCAAAUAAGAAAUUUAACAUACACUUACUUGAUAUUUCUUCUCCCAAGUGUUCAUCAAGGGCAAAUGGAAACACAUAUUUAUAAAAAGGGCAUAGGGAUAAAUAUUCACAAUAUAUUUAUUCAAAAGACAUUAAACUGAAAGCAACUCAAAAUGUCCACUAAAAGGAGAAUUGAUUAAUCUUUUUGAUAUAUUUGUACAAUGCCUCAUUUACCAAUAAGCACAGAGUGAACUUAUAUCGACACAAAAACUUGGAUAGUCCUCAAAGACAUUAUUUUGAAUAAAAGUGUGCGACAACAAAGUGUACAUUCUCAUUUAUUUCACUUAUGUGAAGUUCAAGACCUGCAAAAGUGAUGUACGUUUCCACAAAGCACAACAGAGGCUAUGGAUGAUGGGAGAGGGUGGGAUUGGUUGAAAAGGUACAGGGAGGUAUUUUCUGUGCUAACAGAUGUGAUUCAUUUAUUGAAAGGGUUCUUGAAUGCUGUAGGGGGUAUAUGGUUUUAAAGAUGUGUCAAGUCAUACACUUAAUGUAGACACAUUUCAUUAUGUUUUAACUUUAUAUAAAUACAAACAAAGAAGAAAGAGGGAAUUUAGAAGGAACAUUAAACAGUAAUGGAGAUGAGCAUCAUUUAUUUACAAAUCUCCCCCAACACCCACCAUAUAACUGACCUUUCCAGACUGUCAGUUGCUGGUUGGGUUCCAGGCGGAAUGUCGGGGUGUUCCCUGGAGUGUGCUGUGGCUGGUGGAUCUGUGGUAACUGGGCAGAGCCCUGUGGUGGGUCAGUGCCAUGGAGGGGCUGCUGUCCUCUGUGCAGCUUGGCUUGGGGAUGAUCCUUGGCAAGCUGGGCGAGGUGGUGGUGGAGAUGCUGCCCGAUAUCCUGAGUCCAUGACUCACUUUCCACAGCCUCCAGUGGGAGACAGUGAUGUGCCCACCUGCCCUCAGUUUACUGGUGGGCAUCUUAUUUAUAUUCAGACUGGUUCAGUCUGUUAGAAGUCAACUUUAUGUACAAUGUGAACAGCGGCUGGCAGAAGCAGUGGCUGCAGGGAUUGAGGAGAAAUGCCAGCUCGUUGACAAGCUUGGCGCUGCUCAAAGGAGUAUCUGGGGAUGCAAUCAUCUUUAGAGAUUGCCAGGCUGGAGAAAGAGUCACUGACUAUAGCCAGCCUCACAGACACUCACAGAAAGGUGAAGAGGACCAACGCAAUGCUGAAGGAGGAAUUGACUGACCUGGCUCAGGAACUGAAGGGAGAGAGAGCCAAAUGGUUGAACAAGAAGAGGAGACGGCAGAGCUGCUGCGAGUGCUCGAGUUCUUAGAAGAGGUUGUGAGACUCAAGACGUCACGAGGAGCUUUCCCAAAGUUGCCAGGAGGCCAAGAACCAAGGCCUUAUGGUCCCUUCCUCAGGAGUGGGCCUGGGUCUUAAAGCAGAGCUCUUCUCUCCUCCUCCGCUCACGUCGCCCAAGACAGCAGGCAGCCUCCACCCAGCUUGACCUCCAUCUGAGCGUGACUGAGGCCUGUGGGUGCAGGGGAGCCCCUUCCCUGGGCUGGAGAUCCUCUGCCUUCGCAUGCUGGACGCAAAGGAUGGCUCCUUCAUCUUCACUUCCUCCCAAUCUGAAGACUUGGAAUUCCUAGAACACACCAAGAAAGAUAUGGACUGGUCCGUGCUGGGGACUGGAAAUACAACCAAGAAAUGACCAACACAAUUCUCUCUUUCUGCAAUUUAGAGGAGCUGAGAACAGAUUAAAUAACUAUGUAAAAGUGAGAGAGGUGUCACAACAUAAGUACCAGUCAGAGUUCUGCCAGCAAAACGAGUGACAUGAAAACCAAUUCGAGAAACGGAUUUGA